UACGGAGGAUGCGAGCGUUAUCCGGAUUUAUUGGGUUUAAAGGGUGCGUAGGCGGACGCUUAAGUCAGCGGUAAAAUUGCGGGGCUCAACCUCGUCGAGCCGUUGAAACUGGGUGCCUUGAGUGGGCGAGAAGUACGCGGAAUGCGUGGUGUAGCGGUGAAAUGCAUAGGUAUCACGCAGAACUCCGAUUGCGAAGGCAGCGUACCGGCAUCCAACUGACGCUGAGGCACGAAAGCGUGGGGAUCAAACAGG
rnacentral:rRNA from 1 species